UUCGCUUACAGCGAGGCAUAGGGGCUGCCAGGUCGUUGUAUAGGAGCUCCCCCUGUAUCGCCACGCCAUCGCUCCAGGCUGCCGGCGCGUCGCAACUCCACCGCGCUCGCGCUCGCGCUCACCGGAGGACGGAGGUGCCUCCAGCCUCCUUCUCGCACGCCGCCCCACUCGCGCCACGUCCUCGCUUACACGCUCGUGGUGUCCUUUCGUGCUCUGCGCCGGCGCCCUAAGGGCGUUUGGCGAAAUGCCGACCCGGAUGCCGGUUCUUGGACUGCCGUAGAGGAGCAGGCCGGACUCGUGGAGCAGGCGCGUUCUGACUUGUGAAGCGUGGUGUAUGUGCCGGAGCUGUUUCUUGGCCGGCCGCGUGGCGUGUAGUCCUUGGAGGGAGUGGACAUGGAGAAGGCGUGUUUCUGAAAGGAAAAGAAAAACAGUUGGGUAACGAUUUGCAGAAUAUUCCGUAAGGCGCUUGUGAUGGAGAGCAAGCAUAUAUAGGUGGACAAACCCAGGCAAGAAGAAAUGCAAUCUUGCAUUCUUGUUGCUUGGUGGACGGGGUGGAGGGUUGACCUGCUGGGUGAUCAUCUCUUCUCUCAUCUAUCCACUUGAUUUACUUCCCCUUAACACGCCAGCUUCGUCUGACGCUUUCCCUUCUCCUGCUCCACUGGUGCGCUAUUAUAUUGAGGACCAUGGACUGUGACCCUUUGUGGCUAUCAACUGAAUUCGGAAGGGGGUUCAAAUUUCAAAGUAAUCUUGGUAACGUGUGAGGAAUGACAGUGGUAGGCUAGGCUGGCUCUAAUGAUGCUCGUGUGGUCAUGGUCUUUGAGACAGCACCAUGUAUUAAUCUGUACUUCAUUAUCUUAAAAAGUAUCUGAAUUGGUAGCGGUCCGUUCACCCUCA